GGCGGUCCGUUUUUUACCCUAAUGGCGGGGGAGGAGCACUCUCACUCAGCAGCUCGUCAAAAAUCUGUUUUUGACGGCGGAUCGAAAGAUUUCGAGGAAAUUUGUGGAGGGGAUUCUGUCGUUGAUUGUGGAGAGGAGGUUGUCGAAGUGGCAAAUAUUUUACUCUUACCUACACAAGAUGUACUGGGGACAUGGAAAGUAUGGGAUUGAAGCGGCAUCUCUUUUUUACUUUGGAAAGCACCCUUCUGUUCUUAAUAUAGGAGAAUCAGCAUUGUUGGCUGGGAUAUUACCGUCUCCUGAAACCCUAAACCCAAUUACAAACUUACAAAGGGGGAAAUAUUCACAAGCUAGAGUAUUGAGAAGGAUGGUGGCAGCUGGUUUCCUUGAUUUGGAGACGGCACUUUUGAUUGUGAAACAACCUAUUAGCUUGCCUGUCUAUCAAGUUGCAGACACUAACGAGGGAUAUGGUACCUCUAAAAAGAACUUAAAGAAGAGAAUGAAUGCUCGUGAAAUUUGGGACUGGGAAAUAGCAACCAUGUUACUGGAAGCAAGAGAGGACAUGGAAAAGUGGGCCUUGCGGAAGUAUGGAAGCAUCCAAUAAUGUUGAAAUGCCUCAUAUACUAUCUUAUUUUCUGAAGGAAUACAAUACGCUGAGCCUUUAGUCAGUGUCAGAGCACAAUCUCAGAAAUUGCCAAAUAAUUUGCUAUAAAAUAGCCAUGGACACCAUGGUGCCUCUUGUAUUUACAGGUGGUGGUGGUGGUUCCUUGAUUAGCACGCAUUUGUGAGCUCGGGAUCUUUGUUUUUACUUUCAGAGAAAGUACAUUAAAAAAAAUCUUCGGUCAGCGCAAGAAUGAAAUUGUAAGUGAUGUGUGUUGCUAAGCUUAAUUCAAGAUAGAAACUGGAAGCAGCAAAUGGUGGUGAGACCUCACAGGCUUCCAGAGAAGUCGACCACUUCUUUAUACAGAAGUUCAUCAGCCGAUGAUGAAUUGUUCAAGUGGUUGAGAAUUUUGAUACCAAAUUCAACUGUGACAUUUACAGCAACUUUAUAUUCAAAAGCAUACCACAAGUAUAUGAUAAUGCAAGCAGGAAGAUCUGAAAAUAUCCUCCCCUGCUUGUGACCAGGUUGUAUAAUUUUGCGGACAAAGAAUAUUGUUGCAAACAUAUAUCAUUAAUUUCAUUUGUCAAACGACAUUGUCUUGUUAUUGUGUCCUAAAAAAGGGUUUUCUGUGUUCUCCUUUUUUCCC